rnacentral:lncRNA from 1 species
GUGUGCCAGGUGCUGAUGAUGCAAAGGUGAACAAAUUCAUUCCCUGCUUUCAAGAUGCCUCCACGAAGACAGAUACAUAGGCAAAUAAUUUCAGCAUAUCUCAGUGUACUUUAUGCCAUUGCCAUAGGAACAUGUUGGAAAGGCCCUUUCCCCAGUCUGGGGAGGAGGUGGCAGGGGAGGAUCCCAGAGGAAGAGGUGCUUGGGCAGUGAAAGAUGAUUAGGAGUUAGCUUGGGAAUUGGGAGGAGGAAGGGAAAGGAGGAGCAGGAAGGAGGAAGUUCUCAGCAGUGGUCAGCUUCUGGAAAGGUUUAGAAGGGAGGACAAGCAUAGCCAAUCUGGGGAAAUGCAACUAGUUCCAUAUGACUGGAGCAUCACGUGUAAGACUGGAGAACUAGACACAAACCAGAUAACGAAAGGCAUUUGAAGUCAUAGCAAAGAGUUUGGACUUAAUUUGAGGGCCGUGGGGAACCACUAAAGGGUUUAGAAUGGAGGACUGACAGAUCUGAUUUGCAUUUUAUAAGGAUCUCUCCAACUGGAGCAGGGGAACAGAUUGGAACCAGACAAGAGACUGGCUAGAUGGCUAUCGCCAUAAUCCAGACGAGAAUGUCAAGGGCCUGGCCUAAGGGAGUAGUAAGGGGGAUGGCGAGAAACCGUUAGACACAACAGGAGGUGGUGCUGAGGAGAUGUGGGAUGUGAGGGAACGGAGGAGCCAAGGACGACCUCUGGGUUCUGAUGAUAGUGUCCUGCCAGCUUCCCGGCGUGCUAGGUGGGUGAGACAUGCAAUUAUCAGAAAUUGGCAGAUAGGCCAUCCAGGACAUCCAUACAAGAUCAAUGGGGCUACAAUAUCUCAACAAAGACAUCAAGGACCCAAGUUUUGUCUCUAUUUCCACUCUGAUACCCUUAUGAUUUCUUAUUGCUGGAUAAUAGCUGUACCUCCAAGCAUAUCUGCAUUCAGCAGGAAAAAGGUAAGAGGAGUUGAUGCCAGCUUCAUUUCUCCCAUCUGUUGGAAAGAAAAAUCACUUUCCCCGGAGCGGUACCAUGACUGUCUUGGAUGCCCGUCGACAGAACUGCAUCCACCCUCACCCCCACCCAGAUCCUACAGAGGCUUCUAAAGCCAGCAGGAAAGCACUGUGGAGCUUUUCCUGCUUGCACGAUGAAAGGGGGCAUGGAAGAAUGGAGUAGGGAAUAGGCGUUGAGUGAGCAAAUCAACAGCAUCUGUCACACCUGUUAAACAGAGCACCAUCAAAGGCAGGAGAGGGAAUCAUUUCUCUGGAAGAAAAGCAUCGAAGGUCAGGCCGAAGCUGGGGCUUUGGAAAGGCAGCCCUCACUUGGGAGUUUGAUUCAAGAUUGCUGGGAGCUUGUGGAUAAUUUCUUUGGUCCAAAUUUGUGAAAAUCUGGCCUACCCCAGAAGGUGAAUUAUAGGGAAAUCUAAUUUCUUUAGCCAGCAGGUAGACGUAGCAAUAAAUAAAAAGCACAAGUAGAGAAAGCA